rnacentral:rRNA from 1 species
AUGGCGACCGCCUACAACCUCAGGUCCCGCGACGAGCCGGACGACUUCGACGAGUUCGACUCCACGCCCUACGGCGGCGGCUACGACCUCUUCGCCACCUUCGGCCGCCCGCUCCCGCCCUCCGACGAGACCUGCUACCCCUGCUCCGCCCCCUCCACCUCCUACGACGCGCCCCACUACGCCGCCGAGGAGCCCUCCCCCUACGCCCACCACCAGAAGCCCCAGCCCGCCUACGGCUUCCGCCCCCAGAACGAGCAGCAGCAGCAGCCCUCCUACGGCCGCGAGGAUGACUCCGGCUACGGGUCCAAGCCGCAGGUGGAGCAGACCUACGGCGGAUCGGAGUACGGCUCUGGCUACGGAAGGAAGCCGCAGGUGGAGGAGAGCUAUGGGUCGGGGUACGGAAGCAGGCCGCAGGGAGGGGGAGAGGAGUAUGGUAGCGCUGGGUAUGGUGGGAGGAAGACUGAGGAGGAGGGCUAUGGUGGCUCUGGGUAUGGAUCUGGGAGGAAGGUGCAAGGGGAGGAUGAAGGUGCGUACGGCUCUGGUGGGUACCAGAAGCCCAAGCCGUAUGGAGAGGAGACCCAGGGUUCAUAUGGUGGUGGGUACGGCGGGGGAAACUAUGGCCGCAAGAAGCAGGAUGAUGACUCUGAUGACGAGAAGAAGAACCGUUACGCCAAGCGCGAUGACUCCGAUGAUGAGAAGAAGGAGCGUUACGAGAAGCACCACCACCACCGCCGCCACAACUACGACGACUAA